rnacentral:snoRNA from 1 species
AUUAAUACCAUCGUCACAUUGUCACAUCUGGACCCAGAGUGCUACAGUUCUCAAGAGAAUCUGCUGGUCUUGAUUCACUGGCAGGGGCAACUAGUGCCCUGGUUAGUGCCGAGGUCAGAAACAUCC